AACACAGAACAUUUAUUAAUUUAAACCAAAAUUCAAAAAUCGUUGACGUUAUUUUUCUUUAUUAUUCGGUACUGUUAUCUUUUAGUUCAAUUAUUUUCACCACAACUCCUCAGACAUAACAAAUUGGAACAUAAACAUUACAUUUUUUUUUAUUAAUUUCCACUAAGCGUACUUAGUGGCGACUUUUAUAUGUUAAAACAAAAAAGAAAACAAAAAGGAUGUUCAAAACAAAUAAAGACAACAAAGCUAAACUACCGAAAAAAACAAGAACAUGGGAUCUAGGAGCCUCCAUCUCCAAAAUCCCCCAAAUCGCUCCCAAUCUCUGUUGCUUCGUUCAAUCUUCAACUUUUAAUAUUUCAGUUUCAGCUUAAUUGUCUUCCUUGUGUGUCCUUACCAUUUGACCUUUAACUUAUUUUCGAUGCCAUCGAUGUUGUGUUACAUCUGAGCUUCCAUUGCGGCUUUUGAAGAACAACAAGGAUCUGGAACCAUUAAGAUUGGUGUAAGCAUUACGACGAGUUUGUUGUUGGAUUGUAUUGAAGACUUGAGGUAUAGAUAGACAGACUGGCAGACAUCUCCAGUCGACAGGAUCUGAUAUCAGCUGUUCGGUGAGCUCCCUUAUUCGAAGUUGCCAGGUCUUUUGGAGUCCUUCUUUUGCGCUUACAGACUUGAUGGGUAGGCCAGGGCCCUGCUGUCCAACCAUGAUACAGUUAUGUUCUCUUAAGAGGCUUGUAGACGAGUCCUUUAUAUACUGUGUCAGUGUGAUAUCCUUUCCGGCUUUUGUCACGACCCGACUAGGGGGCCAUGACGGGUACCCGGAGCUGACUACCGAGCACCACUCAUUAUGCUAAUCAUCAUACCUAACCUGAACAUACACAAUCUCGAAGGCAACACAUACAUAUAUAUAUAAGCCCUCACGGCUGCAAAAUGAUAUACAAAAAUAUACACUGAUGUAUCCAUGAGAUAACUACUACCCACGCAUCCGUAUCUACGAGCCUCUACCGGAGU